UACAUGUGGGGCAAGCGUUGUUCGGAAUUACUGGGCUUAAAGGGUGCGUAGGUGGCUUGUUAAGUCAGGGGUGAAAGUUUUCGGCCCAACCGGAAAAUGGCCUUUGAUACUGGCGAGCUCGAGUGCGUGAGGGGUAACCGGAACGAGCAGUGUAGCGGUGAAAUGCGUAGAUAUUGCUCGGAAGGCCAACGGCGAAGGCAGGUUACUGGUGCGCAACUGACACUGAGGCACGAAAGCGUGGGGAGCAAACAGG
rnacentral:rRNA from 1 species